AGUUAGUUUUUUAAUUGGAAAAUAGAAUGAAAGGCUACACUAAAAAUUUGUAUUUAACUUUUAGGUUUGAAUUUUUAAUUUUAGUGAAAAUACUAAAGAUUAUUUAUUAGACAAAAAGACCCUAUGAAGCUAUUAAAAAUAAAAAACAUAUAAUAAAAAAAAUUUUUUUUAAUUUUUUGGGGAAAAAUUUAAAAUUUUUAUUAUUAUUAUUUUAUUUUAUUUAGAGCCCACCGGAAUUUUGAAUAAGCUCCUCUAGGGAUAACAGCACAAUAUUUAAAAAAGUUCUUAUUAGAAUAAGUGU
rnacentral:rRNA from 1 species